GACGUAGGGCGCGAGCGUUGUCCGGAUUUAUUGGGCGUAAAGAGCUCGUAGGCGGCUUGUCGCGUCGUCCGUGAAAACCUGCGGCUCAACUGCAGGCUGGCGGUCGAUACGGGCAGGCUGGAGUUCGGUAGGGGAGACUGGAAUUCCUGGUGUAGCGGUGUAAUGCGCAGAUAUCAGGAGGAACACCGGUGGCGAAGGCGGGUCUCUGGGCCGAUACUGACGCUGAGGAGCGAAGGCCAGGGGAGCAAACGGG
rnacentral:rRNA from 1 species